GCGGGGCAGGAAGGCAGCUGUGCGGGCUCCUGCAGUCCGGGUCACCGCGCCACGCAGGAGACACGUGCGUGCGGCAGCGCGCCCCAGCCUUGUUCCUGCAGCGCCCCCCCAGGAACCCCGGCCCGCCCCCGCCCCGCCAGCCCUCACCGCUGCCGUCUCUGUGUCGCCCCCUCCAGGCCUGCUGCUCCCGGGCCUGCGAUCCCCGCCGCGCGAUCGCGAUGCAGCCCCCGGGCCGGGCGGCCGCCGAGGAGGCCGCGGGCCGCGACCUGCUGGCCGCCGACCUGCGCUGCAGCCUCUUCGCCGCCGCGCUGCGCAGCUACAAGCGCGACUCUGCGCUGCGGCCCUUUCCCGCCGCCUACGCCCGCGGCGACUGCAAGGACUUUGAGGCCCUGCUUGCAGAUGCCAGUAAGUUACCUAGCCUGAAAGAACUUCUAUCCUCUGGAGACAAAGACCGGUGGGCCUGGGACCUGCUGAGCUGGAUUUUGUCCUCCAAAGUCCUCACAAUCCACAGCACAGGGAAGGCAGAGUUUGAAAAGAUCCAGCAGCUGACUGGUAGCCCUCACACGCCUGUGCCAGUCCCGGACUUCCUGUUCGAAAUUGAGUAUUUCAACCCAGCCAACGCCAAAUUUUAUGAGACCAAAGGAGAACGAGACCUCAUCUAUGCCUUCCAUGGUAGCCGCCUGGAAAACUUCCAUUCCAUCAUCCACAAUGGCCUGCACUGCCAUCUCAACAAGACGUCCUUGUUUGGAGAGGGGACCUACCUCACAAGUGACCUGAGCUUGGCCCUCAUUUACAGUCCCCACGGCCACGGGUGGCAGCACAGCCUUCUCGGGCCCAUCCUUAGCUGUGUGGCUGUGUGUGAGGUCAUCGACCAUCCGGACGUCAAGUGCCAGACCAAGAAGAAGGAUUCCAAGGAGCUAGACCGCAGCAGAGUGAGAAUCAAACACAGCGAGGGAGGAGACAUCCCGCCUAAGUACUUCGUGGUCACCAACAACCAGCUCCUGCGAGUGAAGUACCUGCUGGUGUAUUCGCAGAAGCAGCCCAAGAGAUCAGACUGGGCUGUUUCCUGAGGAAGCAAGUCCCCUGGAAAGCACCGUCCUCUGGGUGCUCCUAAAUCAUCCUGUCGUGAGCAGAGCUGGGCAGUGGCACCUGGGUGCAGCUCUGCCACUGUCAGGGCCCAGCACCAUGCACCUGGCCAGGCCACACCAUGCCAUAGGACGGGGCUGGGGGACCCAGGGCAGAGUUCUCAGACAGGGGAACAACCCCAACACAUACAUCUGCUUUGCUGCCUGGGCCGGCAGGGGAGGAGAAUGCCGUCUCCUCAGCUGAUCUGCAGAGGGGGGUUUCCUGGAGGAACCCCUGGCUGGUGCAGCUGGAGGGGAGGAAGGCAGACAGUGUGGGAGCCCUGGGCAGCCCAUGGGUCUCUGUGGACAGGUGUCUCACUCCCAUCUGUCUCAGACCUUCCACUUUGCUUUUGUGAGCUGAGCAAAUCAAUGUGAUCAUUGUAACUAUGCUGGGUUUUUCCACGUGGGCGGCUGCAUUUCAGUUGGCUACAGUUUCCCUGAGGGAGUGAUGUGCUUGCCUGUACACUUGCAUUUCUGGAUCAGCUGUGGGUGUAUCUUUUUUUUCUAUCUUUUUUUGAAUUAAGGUCUGCCUAUGUAGGGCAGGGUCGGCUUGAACUCAUUAUGUAGCCCAGGCUGGUCUCAAACUCUUAGCAAUCUUCCUGUCUCAGCCUCUAGGGCCUUGGCAUUAUAAGCAUGCACCACCAUUCCUGGCUGGAUAUGGGUAAUUUUGAAGGAAAAGUCUUUGCAAGGGUGAGUGGGUCUAUACCUGUGUAUGUGUCCCAGGAAUAUACUUGUCGGGUCCUUAGAGUGGAACUAUGAGCUUGUCUUCAGGGGCAAGUGGAGAGAUUAAGAGGGAUACAGUAUAUCUGUCUAAGUGCUGCUGUGGGGGUCUUUCCUGUAUAUAUUUGUCUACUUGUGUGUCUGUCUGGGAUCUCCUAGAGGGUGGAACUGGGGUGGUGGACAGAGCCCUGACAGAAGAGUCUAAAAUAUAGGUCCUGCUGAGCAUGGUAACACAUGCCUGUGAUACCAGCACUCCAGGAGGCUGAGACAGGAGGAUCGUUGUGAGUUUGAGACCAGACUGAACUACAAAGUGAGCUCAAGGUCAGCUUGAACUGCAUAGUGAGACCCUGUCUCAAAAAGACAAUAAAAUAAAAUAAAAUACAGGUCCUGCUGGGCAUGCCUGUAAUCCCAACACUUGGGAGGCUGAGGCAGGAGAAUCACUGUGAGUUCCAGGCCAGCCUGGGCUACCUAGUGAGUUUAAGGCCAGCCUUAACUACAUAGUCAGAUCCUGUCUCCAAACAACAACAACAUUAAAAACAAGUCUUAGCUCAGAUUCACUCCAUGGUCUGGCCUCAAUUUCCUCCUCUGUAAAGUGAAGAGACUGAGUCACCAGUAACCAUGUAGGCCUUCCUUGGAUUGCAGAGGGAUAUGCUUGAUUCCUGAGUUAAUUGCUGUUUAGGGAUCAAAUGGAAGACACCUCAUUGUAGAGGCUUUGGGCUUGGACAGACUGGAGUUGAACACCACCGUGCAGUAUGUGGGCUGUGCGUCCUUUGGAGUCACUUCUCUCCCUCUCAAGUGUCAUCACAAUUAAGAGAAUAACAGGUAAAGCAUUGGCCUGGUGCCCAGUUCCUACCCUUUAGAGUCUGAAGUCUUCAUCAUAACCUACUAAUUCAGGUCCAGGGGGGACGCUGCCCCUCUCCACCCUGGCUCCACAUGGCACUUUUCCUUCUGGCCCUGCAGGCUGCUGAGCUGAGGAGUAACAGGCCACAGGGUGGAGCCGGGUCAGGGCAACUUCGAGGGGCUCAUCUGUCACACAGGUUCACCCAACACCUCUCAGAGCUUCCAACCAGCCCACUCAGUGCUACUGCGCAGCUCCAGGAUGACCAGAACCUCAGGCUGACCAAUGGGCUUGCAGAGGACUCCACGCAUCCCUGACCACGGUCCAGCUGAUUCUGUCACUCAUCCAACAGGGUCCCUCAGCACCCCACCUCAGCUGUGCCAAGAGUUAUGCUGAUUCAGAGGAUACAAGACAGACAAGAUCCCUGCUGUAGGGAGUGGAGAAGUAUGGGGGACCUGGCCAAGAUCCCCAACUACCUGUAUGAGGGGUAUGGCAAAGGAUACAAUAAGAAACAGAGACACAUUUAGUAAUGCAUGAUGGAGGGCUGGGAGGUCAGUGCCUCAGGAUGGACAGAGACCCAGAUUCUCCAAACCAGCCACUGUUUAUUAGGUGUGUACCAUGCAGUGGGUGUCUACAAUGACAGGAGGGGCUAGUAGAAGAUUCCAGGUUGGCAGAGGAUUCAGAGGUUGAUGACACUGCAGGCAAUGGGAUGAUUCAAGAGGGUGGAGAUGGUCUUAUGCUAAGGAGGCUCUUACUCUGGAGUGUUCUUUUCCGUUUUAGGUGUCUUAGAGUAGUUUUAGUGGGUGGGAGAGGAUGGCCUAUCCCAAGAGUUAAUGGGAAAUCUCAUAAUCCCAAAUCUCCAUGUAUCCCUUAGAGAAGUAUGGAGAAUUAGCUACUGUGAAUCCACUUUUGUGGUCCCCAGUAGAGAAGUAAAUGAUGAAGCUGGGUAUGGUUGACACAUGCUGGUAAUGCCAGCACAUAGGAGGCUAAGGCAAGUUUGAGGCCAGCCUGAGCUACAUAGUGAGACCCUGUCUCAGAAAACAAAUAGAAAUCCACCCAGACAUAUAAAUGCGUGAAUGUUUAUAAGAGUUUUACUUGCCAGCUGGGAUUACACACCUGUAAUCCCAGCACUUGGGAGGCUGAGGCAGGAGGAUCUUGUGAGUCUGAGACCAGCCUGGGCUACAAAGUGAGCUCGAGGCCAGUUUGAAUGCACAGUGAGACCUUGUCUCAAAAAAGAAACAAACAAAUUUAAAUGAACUAAAACUCAAAUGUUCAUCAUCAGGAAAAUAGAUAAGUUACAAAGCUUUCAUAUAGUGGGAUGCUUAUGUCCCAGAAUAAAGACAGAUGAAUUCUUGACUGUGAACAAUGUGGAUAAAUCUCAAAAUCAGCCAGUCUUGUAAAAAAAGUAUUUUAUAUUAUAUUGUUCCAUGUAAGAGGAUUCUAGAAAAUGAGCUGGGUGUGGUGGCACAUGCCUAUAAUCCCAGCACUCAUGAGGCUGAGUCAGGUGGUUUGCUGCCACUGUCUGAGUGAGAUGCUGGUGGGUGUGGCGACAGGGGACAUGGAAGGCAGUGGACCAACGUGAGGUGUUUUGAGACCUAAGCUGUAAGACUUGCUGGAAGUUUGGCUAUAAGACAAGGGGCCAGCAGAGAAAUCUGGGUGGGUGGGUGCCUAUAAAAACACUGCGGCUCUGUUAUCUGGGGAAGCCUGGUGCAGGAACAGCUUCAUGAGUGGGGAUCUCUCUAUCUCUUUGCAAUUCUGGUGAUUGAACCCAGGGCCUCUGCACUGAGCUAUACUCCCAGAUCUUUGUUAUUUUUUAUGUCCAGACAAAGUCUCAUUAAGUUGUUAAAUUUCCCAGGUUGGGUUUGAACUUGCCAUCCUCCAGCCUCAGCUUCCCAGAGGGCUGAGAUUACAGGCAUGGGCCACUACGCCCAGCAAAAGGUCCUCUGUUUGUCCCUGGAGAUGCAUGGGCCCCGGAGAAGAGUCUGGGUGGAGAUGAAAUUUGGAGGAUGUUAACAAAUAAAUCGUAUCUGAAAGCCAAGGGAAUGGUGAGAACGUGCAGGGAGAGAGGUCAGAGGAUAUGAGGACUGCACCAGGGCUGCAGCACCUUGAUGUCCCCUUCAGGAGGGGACCUGAAAAGCAAGCGCACCCAGGAGCAGCAGCUGGACAGGGACCUGGCUGUGCUCCUGUCCUGGGGCUCAGGUGAGAAAGCCCUGAAACACCCAGAAAUGUAUUCACUGCCAGUUCUGGAGGCCAGAAACUCAGAAUCAGAUCCCUGGGCUGAACCUGAAGCGUUGGCAGGGACGCUCAUCAUGGGGAAUUCGUGCCUGGACAUGGUGCAGCCGGCUGCUGCUUUUUUCCUAGUCCCCUCCUCUCCCUCCCGCCCCUCUCCCUUCCUCCUCAUUUACUGAAGCUCUGUUUCCAUUUUUUCCUUCUUUUUUCUUCUUGUCACUUCUUUCCUUUCGCCUGCCCCUCCCUUUUUCCCUUUCUUAUUAGAACAUUUUCUGCCCAUUUCCCUGUAUCUAUCAUACACUUGGGUCCUUUAGCUUUCUUACACCAGAGAAACAAAGCAGUAUUUAAACGUGUGUGUCCAAUUUAUUUCUCUUAAAAUUAUGAUCUCAAGUACAUUCAUUUAGAUAAAAUGUCUCAAGCUUAUCCUUUAUGAAAGAGUAGUACUCCAUUGUAUAAAAAGCCACAUCUUCUUUAUCACAAGUUGAUGGCACUAGUUGAUGAGAUUUAGAUAUUACAAAUUGGGGUACUUUACAUAUAGGUACACAAAUAUCGCUGUGGUUCGAUGCUUUUAAUUCUUUCAUGAAGAUACCAAGAAGGGGAAUAGCUGGGUCAAAUGGGCCUCCAGUACGAGUUUUGUGAGGAACCCCCACACUGAUUUCCACGUGGUCACACCAGUCUACACUCCCUGCCAACAGCCCACAGUGGAGAAAGGUUCUUUUCUCCCCCACAACUCCUCCAGCAUUUGUUAUUGGUUGAUUUCUUGAUGAUAGCCAUUCUUUCUGGAGUGAGACAGAAUCUCUGUGUGGUUUUAAUUUGCAUUUCUCAAGUGACCAAUGAUGCUGAACAUUUUUUCAUAUAUUCAUUUGGCAUUUCUAGGCUUCAUCUGAGAAAUGUCUGUUUAUUUCACAUACCCAUUUUGGACUGGGUCUUCCAAUUCGGGGGGUGGAUUUUUUUUUUUUUUUUAAAUUCUGGCUACUAGUCUUUUGUUUGAGGAGCAGCUGGAGAAAUAUUUUCCCCCACACUGUAGGUUGUCUCUUCACUCUGUUAGUGGUUUCUUUUGCUGUGCAAAAGCUUUUUAAUAAGAGGAUAUCCCAGUUGUUGAUUCUCUGUGAUAGUUCCUGUGCAACUGGGGUUUUAAAGUCUUUGUCUAGACCAGUGCUUUCAAAAGUUCUGCCUAUUCUAUCUUCCAGCAGAUUUAGUGUUUCUAUUGUAGUAUUUAGAUCUUUGUUCCAUUUUGAUUUUAGGUUAGUGCAUGGUAAAAUAUAUGUGUCUAGUUUUAAUCUUCAACAUGUAAAAAGCCAGUUUUUCCAGCACCAUUUAUUAAAGACGUUGUCUUUCUUCCUGUGAACAUGUUUGUCAAAGCCAAGAUGGCUAAGUAUGUUUCAAGUUGUUUCUGCAUCUUCUAAUCUGUCCUGUUGAUCCUCAGAUCUGUCCUCCUCUCCAGUACCAUGCUGUUUUUAUCACAGUAGCUUUGUAGUAUAAUCUCAUCAGGGGUUGUAAUGCCCCUGCUUUUUCUUUGUCAUCCAGAAUUACUUUUGCUCUUCUAGGUUUCUUCUCAUUACAAAUGAAUUGUGGGAUUGUUUUCUCUAAUUAGGUGUGCUAUGCUAUUGAUAUUUUGAUCAGGAUUGCCUUAAAUUGUACAACCAUUUUGGAAGUAUGGCCAUUUUCACUAUAUUGAUUCUUCCUACCCAAGAACAAGAAAUAUUCUUCCAUUUUCUGAUUCCUCUUCAAUCUCCUUUUUUAGAGUACUGUAGUUUUCAGUAUUGAAGUCUUUUACUUCCUCUGUUGAUUGAUUCCUAGAUAUUUCACUUUGGGGGGGGUGCUAUUAUGAAGUGUUAUUUCCCUAAUUUCUGUUUUUAAAUUUUAUUUAUUUUGGGGGAGUGAGUAUUGGGAAUUGAACUCAGGACCUUGUGCUUACCAGGCAAGUGCUUGUGCCACUGAGCUAUGUCUCCAACCCCUUGUUUCCCUGAUUUCUGUCUCAGUGAGUUUGUUAUUUGUGUACAGGAAUCCUAUUGAUUUUUGAAUGUUGACUUUGUAUAUAGCUAUGUGACUGAAUUUGCUUAUUAAAUCUAAAAGUCUUUGGGUGGAGUUUUUAGGAUCUUUGUAGAAUAUCAUGUCAACCACAAAUAAUGUUAAUUUAACUUCUUCCUUUCUUAUCCUUAUUCCUUUUAUUUCUCUUUUUAAAUCUAAUUGCUCCAGAACUAUAUUGAAGAAGAGCAGUGACCGUGGAUAUCUUUGUCUUGUUCUUGAUUUUAUUUAUUUAUUUUUAUACCAAGAAUCGAACUUGGCACCUCGCAUUUGCCAGGCAGGCGCUAUGCCAUUGAGCUAUAUCCUUGGCCCUUGUUCCUGAUUUUAGACUGAAAACUUCUGGGUUUUGUCCAUGUACUAUGAUGUUGAUUGUGGGAUUUUCAUAGAUAACUGUUUUUCUUUUUGGGUACCAGGAACUGAACUCAGGACCUCACAUUUGCCAGGCAGGUGCUGCACCACUGCUAAAUCCCUGCUUUCUGUUACAGGUAACUUUUAUCAAAUUGAAAUAAA